AGAAAAGCACACCCCACUUUUUGUCCAAAGUGAUUCAUGACCCCUAUGGUUGACAUGAUUUAUGACAGCCGGCUGGCCGGUCGUUCAUCAAAGGGUUUUGACAGGUUUUUCGUCCAAUCAGAAGCUGCUACGUCAUCGGCCGGAAGUCCCUCCUCCUCUCUUAGAGACCGGAAGUCCCGCCCCCUCCUACAGCCCGGAAGUCCCUCCUCCUGUCUUAGAGACCGCGAGGAGAGGCC